rnacentral:tRNA from 1 species
GGGUCGAUGGCGUAGUUGGUUAUCGCCUCUGUCUAACACACAGAAGGUCCUCAGUUGGAGCCUGGAUCAACUCA